rnacentral:rRNA from 1 species
UACGUAGGGGCCUAGCGUUGUCCGGAUUUAUUGGGCGUAAAGAGCUCGUAGGCGGUUCGGUAAGUCAGGUGUGAAAUCUCCACGCUCAACGUGGAGGGGCCACCUGAUACUGCCGUGACUCGAGUCCGGUAGGGGAGUGCGGAAUUCCAGGUGUAGCGGUGAAAUGCGUAGAUAUCUGGAGGAACACCGGUGGCGAAGGCGGCAUCCUGGACCGACACUGACACUGAGGAGCGAAAGCCAGGGGAGCAAACGGG